UACGGGGGGGGUAAGCGUUGUUCGGAAUCACUGGGCGUAAAGCGCACGUAGGCGGCUUGUUAAGUCAGGGGUGAAAUCCUGGAGCUCAACUCCAGAACUGCCUUUGAUACUGGCGAGCUUGAGUUCGGGAGAGGUGAGUGGAACUGCGAGUGUAGAGGUGAAAUUCGUAGAUAUUCGCAAGAACACCAGUGGCGAAGGCGGCUCACUGGCCCGAUACUGACGCUGAGGUGCGAAAGCGUGGGGAGCAAACAGG
rnacentral:rRNA from 1 species